GAGGGUAUAGCCCAAGAGGCAGAGCGCUUGCUUAGCGUGCAUGAGGUCCUGGGUUCAAUCCCCAGUACCUCCU
rnacentral:tRNA from 1 species